ACCUCUGUGGCACAAUUGGCUAGCGCGCAAGACGCAAGUACCCUAAUCCCCAACAGCCCAGCGUUAACUAACUGUAGAGCAGUUUUAAUCUUGAGGUUCGGGGUUCGACCCCCCGCAGGGGUG